ACCGCGGAUAGGAACCACGGAGUGUUAAUAUACGCUCUAUGGGCCGAAAAACCGCGAAAAUCAAUUGAUGAUAAUGGUCGCACUUCCUCACUUUUGUCGCUAGUGCAUUACCACUUCGUCGAACAGUC
rnacentral:snoRNA from 1 species